UCUUCUUUCAAAGAACUUUUUCAAUACUGCAUAUAACUUUAAAUCAUCCUAAAGUCAGAUAAAUAUGAAUGUAGAACGUGUAAACAGAAUUAUAUAAACUGUCAAAUUAAAUCGAAAACAGAAUCACGCGAAAAGGAGACUUGGGGAAAAAGGGAUUGAGAUUUGACAGAUCACUCUUCUGCGACCGGUUCCUAACAUACGUAUUUUUUGAAGGGAAAAUUUGGAAAAGGGUAUUAAGUUGUGACAGAUCACUCUUCUGUGACCAGUAACUGAUAAGUAUUUUGUUAUGGGAGCGCUGGAAAAAGUCUCAAUGUGAAGAAUCUCUGUUCUGUGACCAGAUACCAAACUACAAAAUUGAAGGGUACUUGGAAAAGGGUUUUGAGUUGUGAAAGAUCACCCUUCUGUGACCAGAUACCGGACCACCAAAUUAAAAUACGACAGAAAAUCCGUACUACAAAAUUGUAAAUACGAACAAUGUCACCAGCCACUAACACGCGUAUUUUUUAAAGGACGACUUGGAAAACGGUUUCGAGUUGUGAGAUAUCAUUCUUUUGUGACCUGUCACUGACAAGUAUUUUUUUAACCCUUAACUGGCACAACUACUUUUUACUGCGUAAAUGGCACAAUGGGUGCUUUUCAUCCCACAUGGUCAAGCAUGUCCCGCGCAG